rnacentral:rRNA from 1 species
GACGAACGCUGGCGGCGUGCCUAAUACAUGCAAGUUGAGCGCUGAAGGUUGGUACUUGUACCGACUGGAUGAGCAGCGAACGGGUGAGUAACGCGUGGGGAAUCUGCCUUUGAGCGGGGGACAACAUUUGGAAACGAAUGCUAAUACCGCAUAAAAACUUUAAACACAAGUUUUAAGUUUGAAAGAUGCAAUUGCAUCACUCAAAGAUGAUCCCGCGUUGUAUUAGCUAGUUGGUGAGGUAAAGGCUCACCAAGGCGAUGAUACAUAGCCGACCUGAGAGGGUGAUCGGCCACAUUGGGACUGAGACACGGCCCAAACUCCUACGGGAGGCAGCAGUAGGGAAUCUUCGGCAAUGGACGAAAGUCUGACCGAGCAACGCCGCGUGAGUGAAGAAGGUUUUCGGAUCGUAAAACUCUGUUGGUAGAGAAGAACGUUGGUGAGAGUGGAAAGCUCAUCAAGUGACGGUAACUACUCAGAAAGGGACGGCUAACUACGUG